rnacentral:rRNA from 1 species
UACGUAGGGAGCAAGCGUUGUCCGGAUUUACUGGGUGUAAAGGGUGCGUAGGCGGCUUUGCAAGUCAGAAGUGAAAUCCAUGGGCUUAACCCAUGAACUGCUUUUGAAACUGCAGAGCUUGAGUGGAGUAGAGGUAGGCGGAAUUCCCGGUGUAGCGGUGAAAUGCGUAGAGAUCGGUAGGAACACCAGUGGCGAAGGCGGCCUACUGGGCUCUAACUGACGCUGAGGCACGAAAGCGUGGGUAGCAAACAGG